rnacentral:rRNA from 1 species
UACGUAGGGUGCGAGCGUUGUCCGGAAUUAUUGGGCGUAAAGAGCUUGUAGGCGGUUUGUCGCGUCUGCUGUGAAAAUCCGGGGCUCAACCCCGGACUUGCAGUGGGUACGGGCAGACUAGAGUGUGGUAGGGGAGACUGGAAUUCCUGGUGUAGCGGUGGAAUGCGCAGAUAUCAGGAGGAACACCGAUGGCGAAGGCAGGUCUCUGGGCCAUUACUGACACUGAGAAGCGAAAGCAUGGGGAGCGAACAGG